GACGAACGCUGGCGGCGUGCUUAACACAUGCAAGUCGAACGGAAAGGCCCUGCUUUUGUGGGGUGCUCGAGUGGCGAACGGGUGAGUAACACGUGAGUAACCUGCCCUUGACCUUGGGAUAACUUCAGGAAACUGGGGCUAAUACCGGAUAGGAGCUCCUGCUGCAUGGUGGGGGUUGGAAAGUUUCGGCGGUUGGGGAUGGACUCGCGGCUUAUCAGCUUGUUGGUGGGGUAGUGGCUUACCAAGGCUUUGACGGGUAGCCGGCCUGGGAGGGUGACCGGCCACAUUGGGACUGAGAUACGGCCCAGACUCCUACGGGAGGCAGCAGUGGGGAAUAUUGCACAAUGGGCGGAAGCCUGAUGCAGCAACGCCGCGUGCGGGAUGACGGCCUUCGGGUUGUAAACCGCUUUCGCCUGUGACGAAGCGUGAGUGACGGUAAUGGGUAAAGAAGCACCGGCCAACUACGUG
rnacentral:rRNA from 1 species